CGGCUGGUGGGAUUGUCUGCUACACUGCCGGAUAUGUUCUUUCGUAGUUUCAAUUUGUCUAACAGUUCUGGCAACAAUACUCUCAAGCACAGGUCCUCUAUUAUCAUGGAGGAGAUGAAUUUCAUCCAUAAUAAGAAGUUUCACAAGUUGUGUAUAAGUGCGAUCACCAGACUUACGAGUAAUAAUAUCCCACUUUUCUGGAGUAGUCACAAUUAUUUGAGUUUCUUCAAUUUGUUGACGAGUCAAUGUCUGGUCUCCACUUAGUUCCCUAACCUUGACACCAUACUCCUGCAGUCGAUUUGACAAAUUACCAACAACUUCAGCCACAAGAGCUUUCAUUGGUGCAACAUAGACUAUCUUAUAGUUGCCAUGGUUGAAUGAACCAUC
rnacentral:misc_RNA from 1 species